GACGAACGCUGGCGGCGUGCUUAACACAUGCAAGUCGUACGGUAAGGCCCUUUCGGGGGUACACGAGUGGCGAACGGGUGAGUAACACGUGAGUAACCUGCCCACAACUUUGGGACAACGCUAGGAAACUGGUGCUAAUACUGGAUAUGUGCUCCUGCUGCAUGGUGGGGGUUGGAAAGCUCCGGCGGUUGUGGAUGGACUCGCGGCCUAUCAGCUUGUUGGUGGGGUAGUGGCCUACCAAGGCGGCGACGGGUAGCCGGCCUGAGAGGGUGACCGGCCACAUUGGGACUGAGAUACGGCCCAGACUCCUACGGGAGGCAGCAGUGGGGAAUAUUGCACAAUGGGCGCAAGCCUGAUGCAGCAACGCCGCGUGCGGGAUGACGGCCUUCGGGUUGUAAACCGCUUUCAGCAGGGACGAAGCUUUUUGUGACGGUACCUGCAGAAGAAGCACCGGCUAACUACGUG
rnacentral:rRNA from 1 species